AUGUAUAUGGUUGUAAUCCCCUUGUGGAUAUUUUGUUUUUGCUUGGGUAGUCUGUGCAUCUUGGUAGGGGGAGCUGUGUUGUAUUAUUUUUGAACAAGUGUUGUUUGCUUUGUAAUCCACCUAUGUUAUGUGCUUUUCACUUCGUUCAAAUCUGUUUCUCUGCCUUGUGUUUAAUCCCCUUGUAUGCAUGACUCUCUCUCCUUACCUUUUUUGCACUUUCCUUAUCAACAAGGGGGAGAACACUCUCAACCCCCAUAUUGCAUAUUGUUUCAAAAUUCUGUGAUAUAAUAUGCCUGUUUUUG
rnacentral:lncRNA from 1 species